AUACGUAUUUUAAACAAAGGGCUCAUGGAAAUAGUCACCAGGAGGAAAAAUAGUAUUCAGGUGGACUGCACAACUAUGUGUGUGGAGCCAUACCCAUGCAUUUUGGAGACGUAACCACAUUGAGACCUAUGUUUUCCCCCUUCUGUGAUUCUGAAGAGCUUCUACAGCAUCACUUCAAGAUUUUACACCUGAAACGGGUUCAUUUUUAUUUGUCUGAUGCACAUUUCCAGCCAGCAGCCGGGAGGCUGAAGAGGAUUCAAUCCACAAUUGUUCUUCAGAAAGCACACCAAGUGAAUAAAUGUUUAUAACCCCAAAUGGUGUCACGGCAGCAGAUGAAUGGCAGCAGAACAAUGGGCAUUUGCUGCACUUUUCAGGCCGCAGCCAAGUUCCCUAGCAACUACAUAGGAGCUGUGCAGCCUGCAGAGGUACUGUGAGUGCCAGCAGGCUGUUACCUGAGAAAUGACUGAGAAAUGAUCUUAGUGCCGUAUUUCAUUGAGGAGAUACCAUUAAUCAAUUGCCUGCUUGUAAUUCACAGAUACCACUUUCUCCCUUUGGGUAAACUAUUAGGUAAGAAUUCCUCUGGCUAAUAAUUUCAUUGUUAUUUAAUUUCAUAUAUGUGUUAGUAUUAAUUAUAUAAGUUUAAAGUUGUUUGAGUUCCAAGGAAAUAGCACUGGGUAGCUGCUAUGCUGUAAGAAAAGCACGCUGAGCUGAAGUUUGACAUUAGGCUAAACUGAUCUAAUGGCUGUUAAGUGCUUAAGUGCCAAUUGCUUCCUUGAUUUAGGACUGUUUUUUGAAACACAUAGAUAGGUACAAGGCAAAAGGGAAAAAUAAAAGGAAUGGCUUUAUCAAAGAGACAUUGUUAUUUAUUAAAUCAGUUAAUCAUAUGUUACCAGAGUAAUUAAUAAUUACUGAUGCAAGGAAUGUGACAGAUUAGCCUACAGCGAUACCAAGUGCUCCAAACUGAUGAUGGAAAGUCAUGGUCUGCCUUUCCCAGGUGUCUGACUGCAACAGAGAGCAGGUCACUCCAGCUUCUAUAACACUGCGCUCUCUGCUGCUCUGUUACUCACUGUGUCAGGGGAGGGGCAGCUGGGGGUUGGGAAAAGGGUCUGCACCAGAGG